GAGAUGACAUCAGGUGAAUGACAUAGGCAUUGUGACCUAGCAUUAGGUAACAACUGACCAGAUCAUACAUCAGAGGAGGAUCAUCUUCUUCCGGGUCAGGGCUAACUCUGGGAAACUGAAACCUCGGAAAGAGAAAGCAAAACCAGUAUUGGGCGUCAAGGGGCAAGCUACUAUACUUGAAUUGCUGAGUGCCUGUGUGUGCCCAACUUCUGCUACACAGUAUCAGCAGACAGCCAUUGCCUAGAAAGAGAGAGCACAAGCAGAGGGAGAAGCAGGCUUCCUGCUGAGCAAAGAGCCCGAUGCAGAUUCAAUUCCAGAACCCCAGGAUCACGACCUGAGCUGAAGGCGGAUGCUCAACAGACUGAGCCACCCAGACAACCCAAUGAAGAAUUCCCUCCAGCCUAUGGAACACUACAUGGAUCUCCUCAUUCAGAUACCAGGAAACAACUCACCUAUGGGCAAGAAAAUAUUGCGACCGUUCGCACUAUCUCGAGCGGGGCCUCUGAAAUUUUGGUUUUAUACUGUCCAAAUUUACCUCUUUGUUGUCCAAAUCACCAAAAAUCACUGAAGGGGAGAGGAAAGAAGAAAGGAGUCAAUGCUGGAGGAAGACAUGGGGGUGGGGUGUAGUUUCUUGCUGACCUCUGCAAACAGUGCUGACCCACAUUAUAAUGGUGAUACUGUGGACGAGGUUACACGGUAUUUCCAAUCGUGACAAGGUUUACAUUUCCAACAAUGGCCCCAUAAUCUAGCAACAGUUCCUUCCUCGGUACCUCACAUCUGCCUAACGUUCCUUCCCUCAUUGGUUCAACAAAAUUCUGCCUUCCCAGGAUCUGUGUUAGGGGCUGGAAUAAAAAUACAAGUAAACCGUGGUCUUUACUUUCUAAAUAGCUCAUUUCUGCAGAGAAAACAAGAUCACUGAUAGAUACAACUGAAGAAUAAUGAGUUAAACCCAUGUGUCCUAGAAACAAAUCUUCAUAGACAGUAGGGCUCAGAAUGAGCUGAAGUUGUAGGGGGAAAAAAAGCGAAAAGCAAACAAAAAGCC
rnacentral:lncRNA from 1 species